rnacentral:lncRNA from 1 species
GUAAAUACUGUUGUUAUCUGAGCUAAAGAAAACUAAGUGAAGUCACUGGACAAAGAGCUGUCCAGAACUGAACAUCAGUCAACUGGGAGAAUAGCACAGGUUGCACCAAUUGAUGUAAUAUACUUGUAAAAUUCUGUGUACACAGAA